GAUAAACCGCAGGGUUCCUCCUCCUGUCUUGAUUGGCCCAGAUUAAACGCGUAGAAUUUUAAUAUGAAAAAGACUGCUCAUCUAUUUGAAAAAAAAAAAAACUGAGAGGGGAAUCAGAUUUUCCGAACUCAAAGGGCAAGUAUGGGGUGAGAGGGAAUGAUGACUGUGGCGUUUAAGUGCUUACUCUGGGCCAGGCACUGUACUAGGUGCUGGGGUUGGACACGGCUGAAAUCUGGGGUCCAGGCUUGAAGGAAGAAAGGCAGCUGUAUGUCAUACCUGUUUAAGUCAACAUGCACAACUUUGAACGCAAAGCCCGAGUGCUUUGGAGAUUUGGAGGCAGGGGUACAAAGCGGGUGUCGAGAGAUUUACUUCUACCGUUUUGAAUCAUCAUCUUUUAAGUGUCAAAAUUCACCGUUCGCCCUCUCCUCUCCCCCCUCCCCCACCCCCAAUCGUUAUGUAUUUGGUCUGUGCCACAAGGGUUAAUUUCCUGAUGUGUUUUUAUCUGCAUGGAAAAGAAUUCAAGCAGAGCAAACAAAAAAGCAAAAAAAAUAAAAAUUAAAAAAAUCGAA